GUAGGUGGCAAGCGUUGUCCGGAAUUAUUGGGCGUAAAGCGCGCGCAGGCGGUUCUUUAAGUCUGAUGUGAAAGCCCACGGCUCAACCGUGGAGGGUCAUUGGAAACUGGAGAACUUGAGUACAGAAGAGGAAAGCGGAAUUCCACGUGUAGCGGUGAAAUGCGUAGAGAUGUGGAGGAACACCAGUGGCGAAGGCGGCUUUCUGGUCUGUAGCUGACGCUGAGGCGCGAAAGCGUGGGGGAGCAAACAGGAUUAGAUACCCUGGUAGUCCACGCCGUAAACGAUGAGUGCUAAGUGUUAGGGGGUUUCCGCCCUUAGUGCUGCAGCUAACGCAUUAAGCACUCCGCCUGGGAGUACGGCCGCAAGGCUG
rnacentral:rRNA from 1 species